rnacentral:rRNA from 1 species
GACGAACCGUGCGAACGUUGUUCGGGAUCACUGGGCUUAAAGGGCGCGUAGGCGGGCUGCCGCGUCCGGGGUGAAAUCCUCCCGCUCAACGGGAGAACGGCCUCGGAUACGGGCGGCCUGGAGGGGGGUAGGGGCAGGCGGAACGCUAGGUGGAGCGGUGAAAUGCGUUGAUAUCCAGCGGAACUCCGGUGGCGAAGGCGGCCUGCUGGAUCCUCACUGACGCUGAGGCGCGAAAGCCAGGGGAGCGAACGGG